rnacentral:rRNA from 1 species
AGUGAACGCUGGCGGUAGGCCUAACACAUGCAAGUCGAACGGCAGCACAGAGGAGCUUGCUCCUUGGGUGGCGAGUGGCGGACGGGUGAGGAAUACAUCGGAAUCUACUCUGUCGUGGGGGAUAACGUAGGGAAACUUACGCUAAUACCGCAUACGACCUACGGGUGAAAGCAGGGGACCUUCGGGCCUUGCGCGGUUGAAUGAGCCGAUGUCGGAGUAGCUAGUUGGCGGGGUAAAGGCCCACCAAGGCGACGAUCCGUAGCUGGUCUGAGAGCAUGAUCCGCCACACUGGAACUGAGACACGGUCCAGACUCCUACGGGAGGCAGCAGUGGGGAAUAUUGGACAAUGGGCGCAAGCCUGAUCCAGCCAUACCGGGUGGGUGAAGAAGGCCUUCGGGUUGUAAAGCCCUUUUGUUGGGAAAGAAAUCCAGCUGGCUAAUACCCGGUUGGGAUGACGGUACCCAAAGAAUAAGCACCGGCUAACUUCGUGCCAGCAGCCGCCGUAA